rnacentral:rRNA from 1 species
UACGGAGGGUGCGAGCGUUGUCCGGAAUCACUGGGCGUAAAGGGCGCGUAGGCGGCGCGGGGAGUCAACGGUGAAAGCUCGGCGCUACAACGGCCGAGUCGGCCGUCGAUACUCCCGUGCUCGAGCACUGUAGAGGCAGGUGGAAUUCCGGGUGUAGCGGUGGAAUGCGUAGAGAUCCGGAAGAACACCAGUGGCGAAGG